UACGUAGGGGGCGAGCGUUGUCCGGAUUUACUGGGCGUAAAGCGCGCGCAGGCGGCACACUAAGUACGAUGUGAAAUCUCCCUGCUCAACGGGGAGGGUGCAUAGUAAACUGGUGAGCUAGAGGACGGUAGAGGGGGGUGGAAUUGCUGGUGUAGCGGUGAAAUGCGUAGAGAUCAGCAGGAACACCCGUGGCGAAGGCGGCCCCCUGGGCCGAACCUGACGCUGAGGCGCGAAGGCUAGGGGAGCGAACGGG
rnacentral:rRNA from 1 species